ensembl:lncRNA
UUAUACGCCAAAGCGAAAUUGCUAAUUUUGAUUUUGUCUUUAAAUGUCAUCAAGGAGUUCAGUUCAGUUCAGUCGCUCAGUCGUGUCCGACUCUCUGCGACUCCAUAAAUCGCAGCACGCCAGGCCUCCCUGUCCAUCACCAUCUCCAGGAGUUCACUCAGACUCACGUUCAUCGAGUCCGUGAUGCCAUCCAGCCAUCUCACCCUCGGUGGUCCCCUUCUCCUCCUGCCCCCAAUCCCUCCCAGCAUCAGAGUCUUUUCCAAUGAGUCAACUCUUCGCAUGAGGUGGCCAAAGUACUGGAGCUUCAGCUUCAGCAUCAGUCCUUCCAAAGAAAUCCCAGGGCUGAUCUUCAGAAUGGACUGGAGAAACGUGUGCAGACAAGAGGCAAGACAAUCACCCAGUCAAUUUGGAUUUCUGAUUUGGCAGUUAAGUCUCAGCUGAGAUAUGCUUCCGACUACUGAACAAGGUAUCAGAAGGCACAGACCCAGUUUCGACGCCAGUCCCUCAGCCCCACAGUUGCCCUCCUCAGAAAAUACUUAUUCGGCCGGCCCAGAUCUCCGCUGUGGCUCCCAUAUCUCUGAUAUUCGUUGUAGCACGUGGGAUCUUUAGGCGCGGCGCGGGAUCUCCUGGUUGCGGCACAUGGGAUCUAGUUCCCUGACCAGACAGUGAACCCGGCUCUCUGUACUGGGAGUGCGGAGUCUCGGCCACUGGGCCCGCAGGGAAGCCCCUACACACAGUGCGCUCCAUACAGUGCAGUGUCCUUGCUCGCUGCAGUCUCCUUUAGAAGCUGAUCCCAUGCUGGCACCUGUCGGGCCGUCUCUGGCUACUAAAAGGUUCCAGGUGGUGCUGAAGAAGGGCACGCAGAGAUAGCAGAGGGCGGCUGCGGAGCUGGGGGGACCGUCUGAGGGAAUCUGCCAUCCCUGCAGCCGUCAACCCACAUGGAGUUUGGAGAGGAGCUGCGCCUUCAGAGCCUGGGAGGGCACAGGAGCGGGCAUCAGGAGCUGCGCUGCCCGGGACGCAGCGACCCAGGCCUGUGUCGCAGGCUCAGCUCUCGGCCGUUCUUCAGGCGGACUCCACUGGAGGGCAAGCCCUUGGAAGCCUUCCUGACGCCCUUGUCUUAACUUGUUUGGAGCGCCUGCCACCUGGUGUCCACGGAGG